rnacentral:rRNA from 1 species
CGCGUAGGCGGGCGUUUAAGUCAGAGGUUAAAUCCCAGGGCUCAACCCUGGAACUGCCUUUGAUACUGGACGCCUAGAGUGCGGGAGAGGUGUGUGGAACUCCGAGUGUAGAGGUGAAAUUCGUAGAUAUUCGGAAGAACACCAGUGGCGAAGGCGACACACUGGCCCGUUACUGACGCUGAGGCGCGAAAGCGUGGGGAGCAAACAGGAUUAGAUACCCUGGUAGUCCACGCUGUAAACGAUGAGUGCUAGUUGUCGGCAAGCAUGCUUGUCGGUGACGCAGCUAACGCAUUAAGCACUCCGCCUGGGGAUACGGUCGCAAGAUUAAA